GGGAGGGGCGGAGGAAGGGGUGCGGUCGCCGUCGCCCGCCGGGAGUAAACGCGCAGCCCCAGCGUGUGAGCACACACCUUCGCUCCCGGUUCUUCCGCGUACGGGUUCCCGCGGCGGCGUUUUAGGGUUAGUGUGAUUUCAACUCAAGGCAAGGUGGGAUAUCAUGGCCUCCAUCUGGGUUGGACAUCGAGGGACAAUUAGAGAUUAUCCAGGUUUUAGCCCAUCAGCGGAUGCUGAAGCUAUUCACAAGGCAAUCAGAGGAAUUGGAACUGAUGAGAAAGUGCUCAUCAGCAUUCUGACAGAGAGGUCGAACACACAGCGGCAGCUGAUUGUUAAGGAAUAUCAAGCAGCAUAUGGAAAGGAGUUGAAAGAUGACUUGAAGGGUGAUCUCUCUGGCAACUUUAAGCGUGCCAUGGUGGCCCUUGUGACUCCACCGGCAGUGUUUGAUGCGAAGCAGCUACAAAAAUCCAUGAAGGGAGCUGGAACAAAUGAAGAUGCAUUGAUUGAAAUUCUAACCACCAGGACAGGCAGGCAGAUGAAGGAGAUCGCCCAAGCCUACUCUACAGUAUAUAAGAAGAGUCUUAGAGAUGACGUUUGCUCUGAAGCAUCUGGUGACUUCCGGAAAGCUCUGCUGACUUUGGCUGAAGGUAGAAGAGAUGAGAGUCUGAAAGUCGAUGAACAUCUGGCUAAAAAGGACGCCCAGAUUCUCUAUAAUGCUGGUGAGAAGAAAUGGGGCACAGAUGAAGAUAAAUUCACCGAGAUCCUGUGUUUAAGGAGCUUUCCUCAGCUGAAACUAACAUUUGAUGAAUAUAAAAAUAUCAGCCAGAAGGACAUCGAGGACAGCAUAAAAGGAGAAUUAUCUGGGCAUUUUGAAGACUUACUGCUGGCCAUAGUUCAUUGUGUGAGGAACACGCCUGCCUUUUUGGCUGACAGACUGCAUCAAGCUUUGAAGGGUGCUGGAACUGAUGAAUUUACUCUGAACAGAAUAAUGGUUUCCAGAUCAGAAAUUGACCUUUUGGACAUUCGAGCAGAGUUCAAAAAGCAUUAUGGCUGUUCCCUAUAUUCAGCAAUUAAACACAGAUCUACUUUGACACACGUGGGAUCACCGCAAGUUGGAGCUGACUCAGUGGAAAACAGAAAAGGCCAAUGAAGACUGAGACACUUAUAGACCAUAACAACUCUGGGAGGUCUUCCUGCUUUUCAGCCAGUUUCUCAAUGUUGUAUUCAAGAUGGUCCUCUUUAAACCUCUUUCCGAAGAAAUAGAAGUGGUGGAACAGUGAUUAAGAACUAUGUAUGACUGCUAACCAGAAGUAAUGAAGAGCACAUCACCUGGUCUGGAUCCAACUAGACAAGGGCCUGGACCUCAACAGAGAAGACACUGAACCCAACUAACAUAGUUAAGCUGCUCGACGUUCCUGAGCAAGCUUCAGAGUCUCCUCUGACCUCCAUCUUGGUUUUUUUCUUUCUCUCCUGUGGUCCGUGAUAAAAAAAAUGUCAGAGAUUGAAUGAUAGAAUUUUGCAAGACCAACGACUUCUUCAUUGCAAAUACCUUCUUUCGCCAACAUAAACGGCAACUAUACACGUGGACCUCACCAGAAAGAACACACAGGAAUCAAACUGACUACAUCUGUGGAAAGAGACAAUGGAAAACUCAAUAUCAUCAGUCAGAGCAAGGCCAGGGGCCUGACUGUGGAACAGACCAUCAAUAAAGCCAUACGCAUACAUAAUAUACCAAUCAGACCCCGGGUUUGCUUCCCUCCCAUGUGGCCAUGUGCCCAGAAGAGAUCCAUCUCAGUUCCAGAA